rnacentral:lncRNA from 1 species
AUUCUAUUUAUAACUGACCAGGUCACACCCACACCAUUUCCCUACAACACACACUGGACUGGGAAGUUCAAGAAGAUGCUUUCCAGGUCAAUAUGCAACACGAGCGUCUAGAGGGCAGAUGCAGCUAACUCUUCAUUACCUGGCUAAUGACUGGCAGGAAGAAGGAUCAGAUGUUUUCAAAUGAAUGCCAAGUCAAACAGAUCCAAGCCGUCUUGGAGUUAGAUCACGUGCAACUAGCCAAGCUGAUCACAGGGAUUUGGAGGAUCAUCUUAUCAAGCUAUAUCAGACAAUGCCACUGCCAAAACUGGAAUCAUUUAAAUAAAUGUAUCAAAGGAC